GACGAACGCUGGCGGCGUGCUUAACACAUGCAAGUCGAACGGAAAGGCCUGCUUUCCCUUGUGGAUUGCGGGUACUCGAGUGGCGAACGGGUGAGUAACACGUGAGUGAUCUGCCCCCAACUUGGGUAUAAGCCUGGGAAACUGGGUCUAAUUCCCGAUAGGACUGCAGGGUGGUGCCUGUGGUGGAAAACGAUUUUCUAGUGGUUGGGGAUGAGCUCGCGGCCUAUCAGCUUGGUGGUGGGGUAAUGGCCUACCAAGGCGGCGACGGGUAGCCGGCCUGAGAGGGUGGACGGACACAUUGGGACUGAGAUACGGCCCAGACUCCUACGGGAGGCAGCAGUGGGGAAUAUUGCACAAUGGGCGGAAGCCUGAUGCAGCGACGCCGCGUGGGGGAUGACGGCCUUCGGGUUGUAAACUCCUUUCGACCGCGAGGAAGCCACCUGGUUGGAAGGGUGGUGACGGUAGUGGUAGAAGAAGCACCGGCUAACUACG
rnacentral:rRNA from 1 species